CAAAGCAUGUGAUUUUCAAAGGCUCCAGAGGGAAUCUAAUCAAUUACCAAGCCCAAAAAGACGCUUCCCGAGACUUUUCAGUGAUAACUGAUAAUGGAUGCAAGAUAAACAGCCUUUGCCGACCCCCCACCCACCACUUCUCAUCUUCCAAAGUCUCUAUAUAUUGUCCCCUUGUCAUUCUGAUUUUCUCAGACUUGUGGUUCCAUUAAAAGCAAGAUGUUAGGUGAUAGCAUCCAGCUAAUCUUCUGUUCAGGAACCUCUUCCUCGAUUAAGGGAUCCAGCGAAUCUAUUGCCCUCUGUCUCUGUAGAUGGAUCAGAGGCUUUUCCCCGAGAAAGGAACGUUGUAGAAUAUAGCAACUGUUAAUUGUAGCUACAAUUGGUUUUUGUAACAGUUCUUUUUUUUUUUUGCACUUUUUCCUGAAACAUUAAUGCUACUGCAUUUCUAAUCAGGCCCAAUGGGCGGAAAUUAGAGUAAGAUUAACUGAAUAAUGAAUACUUUGUACGACUUCAAUUUUCUUUACGGGUGCAUUUAUGUUCUUACCAUUAUCCUGGUUGAAGUGGGAUUUACACGACAAACAACUUGUGUGA